rnacentral:rRNA from 1 species
AUUGAACGCUGGCGGCAUGCUUUACACAUGCAAGUCGAACGGUAACAGGUCUUCGGAUGCUGACGAGUGGCGAACGGGUGAGUAAUGUAUCGGAACGUGCCCAGUAGUGGGGGAUAACUACUCGAAAGAGUGGCUAAUACCGCAUGAGAACUGAGGUUGAAAGCGGGGGACCGUUCGGGCCUCGCGCUACUGGAGCGGCCGAUAUCAGAUUAGGUAGUUGGUGGGGUAAAGGCCUACCAAGCCGACGAUCUGUAGCUGGUCUGAGAGGACGACCAGCCACACUGGGACUGAGACACGGCCCAGACUCCUACGGGAGGGCAGCAGUGGGGAAUUUUGGACAAUGGACGCAAGUCUGAUCCAGCAAUGCCGCGUGUGUGAAGAAGGCC